UCGCUCCCGCGGCGCCGCAGCGGCUUCUUCUCCUCCUCUUUCGCCUCCUCCUCUUCCUUCGCUUUUUCUCCUCCUCCUCCUCUUCCUCCUUCUCCUCCUCCAGUUCUCCCUCCUCCUCUUUCCCCACCUCCUCCCCCUCGGCCACCGCCUCCUCUCCACCACCAUCACUCCCUCCGGGGCACCCCGGUCUCUGCAGAGCCCCCGGUCGGCGCCGUCUCCUCUGUGGCCCCCUGGAUUCCCCAGCCUGCCGAGCCCGGGCUUGGGGGUACAGACGGACGCGCGGACACUACAGAUUCCUCGCGCCCAGCGCUUCCGCGCUGCUGCCCUCCGCAGCCCCGCGUCUGGGGAGCUGGAAUCGCCACGGGAGCCCUCGAGGGUCAAAUCAGACUCUAAAUUGCUGAAAAAAACUGAAGAUGAGAGGCAGAAUGACAAAAAGACCCUGUAGAAGGUCCUGGAGCUGAAUUGACCCCAGCCCCCCAGGGAGACAGGUAAGGACCCUGCAGGCCAUCCCAGGUUCCCAGGUGGUUCAGUGGUAAAGAAUCC
rnacentral:lncRNA from 1 species